UACGGAGGAUCCAAGCGUUAUCCGGAUUUAUUGGGUUUAAAGGGUGCGUAGGUGGAUUGGUAAGUCAGUGGUGAAAGUUUGCAGCUUAACUGUAAAAUUGCCGUUGAAACUGCCGGUCUUGAGUGCAAAUGAGGUAGGCGGAAUGCGUCGUGUAGCGGUGAAAUGCUUAGAUAUGACGCAGAACUCCGAUUGCGAAGGCAGCUUACUGGGAUGCAACUGACGCUGAGGCACGAAAGCGUGGGUAUCAAACAGGAUUAGAUACCCGGGUA
rnacentral:rRNA from 1 species